AACAGCAGCAGGAGCAGUAGCAGUGGUGGUGGUGGUGGUGGUAAUAGUGUAGCAGCAGCAGCAGUACUAUUUAUACUAAUAGUAGCCAUAACAGUAACAGCACUGGCAACAGCAGUAGCAGCAGUAGUAAGGAGUAUGGAAGGACGCUAUAACACUACCAUUAUCCCUUCCACAUUGCAACUUUCCCCAUAGCGGUGAUGUGUCAUCAGCAGGCGAGAGAAAUUAAAGGGGGAUUUGAGGAGAGUUUUUCAGAAGCCAAAGAUAACAUAAGAAGACUAGCAGAUGACACAGAGCCUAUGACCAAAUACUUAGCCCAGAUUUUACAGGAGGUUCCUAUAAACACCUCAUGAGAGAAAAAGAAAAAAAUCAGACUUCUUCUUUAGUAUGAAGAUAGGGUCAAAAAAUCUUGUGUAGAUUUUCCAGAUCAGAGAGGCUCUGCUCCCCAACCCCUGUGAUGUGGAAGAGGAUAACUGUAAUUAGCACCAGAACCAGAAUUCCAGAGGACUGAUGGUGACUAAUACUUCCUGCCUAUCAACAGAGAAGUGAUGGACUUUUGGUAUAGAACGAGACAUACACUGUCACAUGUGGCCCUGUGUAAGUUGCUUGGUUUUGCUCUAUUUCUUGGUUACAUUUGUUACAUAUCUUUGUUUCUUUGUACCUAUGGGAGAGAGGGUAGGCAAGUCAUUGUGAAGUUUCAACAGUGUUAAAAAGCCCGAGUCCUCCCUACAGAGGUUUCAUGAGACAAAGAAACCGAGAGGGUCUUCACAAACAACAGAACCCCAGUGCAAAACAUUUCAAAAGAAAAGAAUUCUUGCUAAGUGCAAAAAAUACUGUAUCAAGAAUACUGUCCUGCCAUUGUUUGUCUCUAAACUUUGCUGCUGCUGAAAUCCCAAGGACAAAGGGACAGGAAACAGGAUUGUUCUGGAACAGUCUGGAUGUUAUUCUACCGAGCAUGUUGAUAAAACACAGCUCCUGCACUCUGAGCCAAGGUGGAAGGGAUAGUGUACAUGUGAGAAUGGGCUCAGAUUGGAACCUGGUCUUUUGUUUUGUUCAUCAGCACGGGCCAGCAGCUAUUGACUACAAAAGGUAUGGGGAAAGGAGGAGGAAGAAAUCUAUGAUGUUAGAGGUCUACAAUUUGCAAGAUUACAAUGGAGUAUUCCAGCUGUUCACCUGUCAUCUCUCAUUCUUGCCAUUAAAUAAGCCUUUAUUCUAUCAUAGAAUUUUUUUCAUGACUUCUUUUACUGCUGCUUAUCUUUGUAGUCACUGAUGAGUUAAAUGGUUCAAUCUUCUCAGAUCCUCCCAGUGCCUUUCCAUUUCAUUCAAUGUAAUACUCAUUUAAAAAUUUCUGAGGUUGACCAUUUGAAUGUUAAGUGAUGAAAAGAUGGGCCCUGAGAGAGUAAAGGAGCUUUGCCAUUUCUCAAAUUCAAUCCAACCCAAUUCUUAUCAUCUUGUUAUUUAUUUGUGUUAUCUAUCAUGAUUCUGUAGGGUGUCCACUUAAAUGUGUAUUGCUAUCUAGGUAGUUCUUCACCUGCUUGGUCUUUCCUUUGCAAAUGGAUAAGAUCACUUAGAAUAAUCACAGAUUUCUUCCAGGAGGCUCUAUGAUAUUCUGGGACUUGUUCCCAAAACAGGAACAUCUGGAAGAUGGGAUCAAAUGAUCCAUGUGAAAAACUCUAUAUUCAAUCUCUUCUAUCACAGUCAUGAAGACAUAUAUCUGUAUGUAGGAAUUAUAUAUACAUAUAAAGCAUACACCUAUGUUUUAUAUCUUAAUGUUUAUUAUCAGGAGGCCAAUGAAAAUAGAUU
ensembl:lncRNA